rnacentral:SRP_RNA from 13 species
UGGCCCCAAAUUGCGCAAGGCUGGUAUACGGAGCACCG